ACGGUUCUGCGCCAUUCGUAUCUGUGGCAACAUUCCGGUGGCCUUAAUCAUUUCCGAGGGAGCUGGCUCUGUCACGGCCCUGGUCGCGUUACCUGGCACCCACCUGUAUAUGCAGGCUCUCGGGAAUUACGCCUCUACGGUGGAUGCGGUUCCGUC
rnacentral:other from 2 species